AUUGAACGCUGGCGGCAUGCCUUACACAUGCAAGUCGAACGGCAGCACGGGGGCAACCCUGGUGGCGAGUGGCGAACGGGUGAGUAAUACAUCGGAACGUAUCCUGUAGCGGGGGAUAACCUCUCGAAAGAGAGGCUAAUACCGCAUACGACCUACGGGUGAAAGAGGGGGAUCGCAAGACCUCUCACUAUUGGAGCGGCCGAUGUCGGAUUAGCUAGUUGGUGGGGUAAAAGCCACCAAGGCUACGAUCCGUAGCUGGUCUGAGAGGACGACCAGCCACACUGGAACUGAGACACGGUCCAGGACUCCUACGGGAGGCAGCAGUGGGGAAUUUUGGACAAUGGGCGCAAGCCUGAUCCAGCCAUGCCGCGUGGGUGAAGAAGGCCU
rnacentral:rRNA from 1 species